GAUAAACGCUGGCGGCGUGCCUAAUGCAUGCAAGUCGCACGGGGUAUCACUUCGGUGAUGCCGAGUGGCGAACGGGUGAGGAACGCGUGGACAACCUACCCCGGCGUGGGGGAUACCCGCCAGAAAUGGCGGCUAAUACCGCGUACGGUUCCGAGGCGGAGGGCUUUGGAAAGAAAGCAGUAAUGCGCGCUGGGAGGGGUCUGCGGCCGAUUAGCUCGUUGGCGGGGUAACGGCCCACCAAGGCGAUGAUCGGUAGCUGGUCUGAGAGGAUGAUCAG
rnacentral:rRNA from 1 species